rnacentral:rRNA from 1 species
CAGCAGUUGGGCGAAAGCCUGAUCCAGCCAUGCCGCGUGAGUGAUGAAGGCCCUAGGGUUGUAAAGCUCUUUCAACGGUGAAGAUAAUGACGGUAACCGUAGAAGAAGCCCCGGCUAACUUCGUGCCAGCAGCCGCGGUAAUACGAAGGGGGCUAGCGUUGUUCGGAAUUACUGGGCGUAAAGCGCACGUAGGCGGAUUGUUAAGUUAGGGGUGAAAUCCCAGGGCUCAACCCUGGAACUGCCUUUAAUACUGGCAAUCUCGAGUCCGAGAGAGGUGAGUGGAAUUCCGAGUGUAGAGGUGAAAUUCGUAGAUAUUCGGAGGAACACCAGUGGCGAAGGCGGCUCACUGGCUCGGUACUGACG